rnacentral:rRNA from 1 species
UGGCGAACGGGUGAGUAACACGUGGGUAACCUGCCCAUCAGAAGGGGAUAACACUUGGAAACAGGUGCUAAUACCGUAUAACACUAUUUUCCGCAUGGAAGAAAGUUGAAAGGCGCUUUUGCGUCACUGAUGGAUGGACCCGCGGUGCAUUAGCUAGUUGGUGAGGUAACGGCUCACCAAGGCAACGAUGCAUAGCCGACCUGAGAGGGUGAUCGGCCACACUGGGACUGAGACACGGCCCAGACUCCUACGGGAGGCAGCAGUAGGGAAUCUUCGGCAAUGGACGAAAGUCUGACCGAGCAAACGCCGCGUGAGUGAAGAAGGUUUUCGGAUCGUAAAACUCUGU